GUCUCUUGCUCCAGCCAGAGCUCGAGGUUAGCUCUUCACUGCCCUGUGUCUUCUUUCCAAGGGUCUCGGUGAUUCGGCCACAGCCUCAGCCUCCAUCACGCGGUGAACUGAUGGUGCUGGAAGAUUCAUAGACUCCAGGACAUUCCUGAAGCCGAGAAAAGGUUAAGUAGGGUCUGGCCUGGAAUACUCUCCUAGAUGAAGAUAGCCCAACCAUGAGCCACCUUCGAAGCAGAUGAGAUGAAAUUAAAGCUCUUCAACUCCUAAAGGCCCAGAGACUAUCACAAAAGAGGUCAGAAAUCCUGAAGGUCACUUUCUGACAAACUCAGGAACCCCAGGUUUAUCUUGGAGCCUCAAGAGGAGAUAAAUUCACCCAACUCAGAAUUGGAAAAAACUACUUUAAACUUCAUAUGGAACCAAAAAAGAGCCUGCACAACCAAGACAAUACUGGGCAAGAAGAACAAAGCUGGAAACAUCAGGCUACCUGGCUUCAAACUAUACUACAAGGCUACAGGAACCAAAACAGCAUGGUACUGGUACCAAACAGAUAUGUAGACCAGUGGAACAGAACAGGGCCUCAGAAAUUGAUAUCACUCUGUCACCAUCAAAAAAUACUUAUUUAGUGUCAAAUCCUACUGUGAAAUAGCAGAACUGUGGGAUUUGUAAAGUGGAAAUGCAGAAUUCAAAACAGAGAUAUAUACCAAUGGAACAGAGCAGAGGCCUCAGAAAUACCACCACACGGCUACAACAAUCUGAUCUUUGACAAACCUGACACACACAAGCAAUGAGAAAAAGAUUCCCUAUUUAAUAAAUGGUGUUGGGAAAACUGGCUAGCCAUAUGUAGAAAAUUGAAACUGGACCCCUUUCUUACCCGUUUUACAAAAAUCAACUCAAGAUGUAUCAAAGACUUAAAUGUAAGACCUAAGACCAUAAAAAUCCUAGAAGAAAACCUGGGCAGUACCAUUCAGGACAUAGGCAUGGGCAAAGCCUUCAUGUCCAAAACACCAAAAGCAGUGGCAACAAAAGCCAAAAUUGACAAAUGGGAUCUAAUUAAAUUAAAUAGCUUCUGCACAGCAAAAGAAACUCAUCAGAGUGAACAGGCAACUACAGAAUGGGAGAAAAUUCUUGCAAUCUAUCCAUCUGACAAAAGGCUAAUAUCUAGAAUCUACAAAGAAUUUAAACAGUUUACAAGAAACAAACAAACUGCCCCAUCAAAAAAUGGGCAAAGAUAUGGACAGACACUUCUCAAAAGAAAACAUUUAUGCAGCCAACAGACACAUGAAAAAAUGCUCAUCACUGGUCAUUAGAGAAAUGCAAAUCAAAACCACAAUGAGAUACCAUGUCACACCCGUUAGAAUGGCAAUCAUUAAAAAGUCAGGAAACAACAGUGCUGGAGUGGAUAUGGAGAAAUAGGAACACUUUUACACUGUUGGGAGUGUAAAUUAGUUCAACCAUUGUGGAAAACAGUGUGGCAAUUCCUCAAGGAUCUAGAACUAGAAAUAACAUUUGACCAAUUCCAUUACUGAGUAUAUACCUAAAGGAUUAUAAAUCAUUCUAUGAUAAAGACACAUGCACACGUCUGUUUAUUGUGGCACUAUUCACAAUAGCAAAGACUUGAAACCAACCCAAAUGUCCAUCAAUGAUAGACUGGGUAAAGAAAAUGUGGCACAUAUACACUGUGGAAUACUGUGCAGGUGUAAAAAAGGAUGAGUUCAUGUCCUUUGCAGGGACAUGGAUGAAGCUGGAAACCAUCAUUCUCAGCAAACUAGCACAAGAUCAGAAAACCAAACGCUGCAUGUUCUCACUCAUAAGUGGGAGUUGAACAGUGAGAACACAUGGACACAGGGAGGUGAACAUCACACACUGGGGCCUGUCAGGUGCUGGGGGGCUAAGGGAGGGAUAACAGGAAAAAUACCUAAUGUAGGUGACGGGUUGAUGGUUGCAGCAAACCACCAUGGCACAUGUGUACACGUAUGUAAUAAAACUGAUGUUCUUCACAUGUAACCCAGAACUUAAAGUAUAAUAAUAAAAAGAAGAAUAAAUAUUUGUUUUAUAUAUUUAAAGCUUAGAAUCACAAAUAAUGCUUCUGUUUAUGAUUUGAAAACUUCAAAGUUUGGUUUUCCUUCUGUACAUACACAAAACAUUGUAUUGUGCUGAAAUAUUUGUUUUUUAAAGUGGCAGUCAUAGUUCCUGUCUGUCCGGAUAUAUAUAUGUAUAUAUGUUAAGCAUAACAUAAGAAAGAAAUUUCAUUAGCUGGGCAUGAUGGCUCACUCCUGUAAUCCCAGAACCUUGGGAGGCUGAGGUGGGUGGAUUGCCUGAGGUCAGGAGUUUGAGACCAGCCUGGCCAACAUAGUGAAACCUCGUCUCUACUAAAAAUACAAAAAAUUAGGUGGGCGUGGUGGCAGGCACCUGUAAUCCCAGCUACUAGGGAGGCUGAGGCAAGAGAACGGCUUGAACCUGGGAGUCAGAGGUUGACGUGAGCCGAGAUCACACCAUUGCACUCCAGCCUGGUGACAGAGUGAGACUCUGUCUGAAAAAAAAAAAAAAAGAAAAAUUUUAUUUUGUUUUCGGUAAUCUAAGAUUGUUGUACACAAAAACUUUACAGAUUAUGGUAGGGUUUAGCAAACUGUGUAUAUAACGUAACAUUAAUAUCGCUAUUUUCUGAUGUCUAACUUUUAGGAAAGAUUUUUUGUUUACAAAUGUCUCCACAAAUUCUGGCUUAUUUUAUAAAAAUAGCAGAAUACUAAAGAAAUGGGUGGUUUGCCACACUACAUGAAUUCACACACUACUGGCAUUCAAUUAAAAUAGCAAAUAUUUUCCUCAAAAUUUAGACAGAUGAAAUAAUUUCUUGAUUUUUGAGUGCAGUGACAGACAUUCACAAAUAUUUCAGAAAUCAAAGCUGUAUUAGGUUUUACUUAGUAGUAAUAUGUAUAUAAGAUCAAGGAUCUGUUCAGAAUAGAUAUUUUUCAUCAAUAAUUUGGUGCUUUCAAAUACCCAGAAGUCUUGUUUUAAUCAGAUGAAGUCUGAGGAUAGUUUAGUAAUUUUACUUUUUGUAUGAUGUGUUCACAAUUUUCUAAUUUAACCUAGUAUUGAUUGAUGAUGGGUAAACCAACUUUUUUUUUUAAUCUCGUAGGUUUAUUAUGUUGUUGAAGAUGUUUUUAGUUAGAAUUCUGUCUUUCAAAAUUGUUUACAGAGAUUUAGGUCUAGUUGAAUUUGCUCAACCUGUUAAUCAGUGUCAGCUGCCAGAUUCUAAUUCAUUUUUAGUGUGCCUGUACUUUUCUUUCUCUAAACUAAAUUUAUAUUCUCUAUAUUACUUGUUCAAAUGUGAUAUAAUACAGCUCACACAUUUAAAACAAAACCAUGAGGACAAAUUAAUUCUGGCUUAGUAUAAAGAAGCUGUUACCAAAUUAGUGUUACAUAUGCAGAUGGAUGCAGCUCAACAAAAUUUUACACAAAAAAAAUUGAAUUGAACUACACGUGUUGCCAUGACUUAGCCUCUAAUGAUCUCGUGAAUAAAGACAAAUUUCAACACA
rnacentral:lncRNA from 1 species